rnacentral:rRNA from 1 species
GAUGAACGCUGGCGGCGUGCCUAAUACAUGCAAGUCGAGCGAACAGACGAGGAGCUUGCUCCUCUGACGUUAGCGGCGGACGGGUGAGUAACACGUGGAUAACCUACCUAUAAGACUGGGAUAACUUCGGGAAACCGGAGCUAAUACCGGAUAAUAUAUUGAACCGCAUGGUUCAAUAGUGAAAGACGGUUUUGCUGUCACUUAUAGAUGGAUCCGCGCCGCAUUAGCUAGUUGGUAAGGUAACGGCUUACCAAGGCAACGAUGCGUAGCCGAAGUGAGAGGGGGAUGGGCCACACUGGAACUGAGACACGGUCAAGACUCCUACGGGAGGCACCAGUAGGGAAUCUUCCGCAAUGGGCGAAAGCCUGACGGAGCAACGCCGCGUGAGUGAUGAAGGUCUUCGGAUCGUAAAAAUCUGUUAUUAGGGAAGAACAAAUGUGUAAGUAACUAUGCACGUCUUGACGGUACCUAAUCAGAAAGCCACGGCUAACUACGUG